rnacentral:snoRNA from 1 species
UUGGUCCUGAAUCAAGGCCAGUAGUUUGCUGAAGCUGUUGGUUUCAAACAAGAGCCUAAAGAAUUAUCUUUCUAUGGUCUGUUGGCCAUUUCAGACCUUGGAAAUGUAAUGGUUAAUUCAUUGGAAGAAAACAUUU